AUAAAACAGGGUGUAACACCCCGGUCUACAUCUUGGCAGAGACACAUAUACGUAUGUUGUAUACCUGGUUCCUAUUUUGAACAUCUACGUGUACUUUUUGUCUUUUUGACAUCCAUCAGCUAACUUCGUUGAUUUAAGGUAGACCAGAAAAGCCACAUCCCUGAUUGGCAGAUGAGCGGCAACCCUGAUUACAAGCACCUGCUGCUCAUCGGUUCCUUACAAAAUGCUGUUUUGAAUUAGAAUAAAGUUGUACCUAAACACCGAAGAAGGCUGUAAAGAAAGUCAGACCAACAAGAUCAACAAGAGAAUGGGUGGAGAUAAAUCAAAAAACCGAGUGGAUAAGGCAGAGAAAGACCUCGAUCAAGCCAAAACGGGAAAAAAGAAAGUGAAGAAGGGAAAGACGACUGAAAACGAUUACAACCAACUCCUUGCUAAGAACGUGAGACUGGAAACAGAACAAAAGAUGGAAGAAGAACGAAGACAGGAGCUCGAGAAGGAAAGACUACAAUUAAUGGAACACAAUAGACAGCGAGAGAAAGAUGAAAGGACCAGGAUUAAGCAGGAAAAAGAGAUUGCAAAAGGAGAUCAGAACACUGUAUAAAAAAAGGGCAUAAACUGGGGCAUAAACUGUUUAAUUUAUCCACAAAAUGUAUUAUUGAACAAAGCACACAAUCAUUGUAAACUUUUAAUAUCUACAAUUGCACUGCCUGUUUUAUUUUCCUCAAAUGAUGUGCUUAAAGGGAUAGUUCACACAAAUUACAGUGGUUUUAUAACCCUGUUAGCAGUCUUUUGGUUUUGUUUACCUGGCUGCUGUCGCCAAAUGCUUUUCAAAACCAAUGCCUGUCAAUAUCUGAGAAUCCUCUGUAACGUUGCAAUAAAUAGAUUCUAUUGAU